rnacentral:rRNA from 1 species
GGCGCGAAACCUUUACACUGCACGAAAGUGCGAUAGGGGAAUCCCAAGUGCGAGGGCAUAUUAGCCCUCGCUUUUCUCGACUGUAAGGUGGUUGAGGAACAAGAGCUGGGCAAGACCGGUGCCAGCCGCCGCGGUAAUACCGGCAGCUCAAGUGAUGUCCAAUAUUAUUGGGCCUAAAGCGUCCGUAGCUGGCCGCGCAAGUCCGUCGGGAAAUCCACCUGCUCAACAGGUGGGCGUCCGGCGGAAACUGCGUGGCUUGGAACCGGAAGGCUCAGAGGGUACGUCCGGGGUAGGAGUGAAAUCCCGUAAUCCCGGACGGACCACCGAUGGCGAAAGCACUCUGAGAAGAC